rnacentral:rRNA from 1 species
AAAUUGAAGAGUUUGAUCAUGGCUCAGAUUGAACGCUGGCGGCAGGCCUAACACAUGCAAGUCGAACGGUAACAGGAAGCAGCUUGCUGCUUUGCUGACGAGUGGCGGACGGGUGAGUAAUGUCUGGGAAACUGCCUGAUGGAGGGGGAUAACUACUGGAAACGGUGGCUAAUACCGCAUAACGUCGCAAGACCAAAGAGGGGGACCUUCGGGCCUCUUGCCAUCAGAUGUGCCCAGAUGGGAUUAGCUGGUUGGUGAGGUAACGGCUCACCAAGGCGACGAUCCCUAGCUGGUCUGAGAGGAUGACCAGCCACACUGGAACUGAGACACGGUCCAGACUCCUACGGGAGGCAGCAGUGGGGAAUAUUGCACAAUGGGCGCAAGCCUGAUGCAGCCAUGCCGCGUGUAUGAAGAAGGCCUUCGGGUUGUAAAGUACUUUCAGCGGGGAGGAA